GGUGGAAAAGAAUACCUGAUGAGAGCUCACUUUGGACUUCCAAGUGUUGAAGCUGAAGAUAAGGAAGGAAAACCUCCCAUUAGUGUGAAGUUUGAGAUUCCAUAUUUCACCACUUCAGGAAUCCAGGUUCGCUACUUAAAGAUAAUUGAGAAGAGUGGCUACCAGGCUCUCCCGUGGGUUCGUUAUAUUACCCAGAAUGGAGACUACCAGCUUCGAACACAGUAAACACCUCGCAAGCACCACAGACGACAAACUUCAGGCAUAGAAUUUGUUUGCAGAAGCUUCUGUGGUACUGAGAGCUGUGAAUGUUGUUGCCAAGGGUCUUGUUUCUGCAAUCUUGGAUUGGCAGGAGAAAGAUUGGAAAAUUACUGUUUUCAAUAAUGUGUUUGAGCAUUUGAACCAUUAGUAUUGAUUGUGUGAAUAUUUAUUUCAUUCUUAGAAUAUGCUGAUCUUGCUGCUAAAUGCUAAUUACAUUAGGAGUAGCAGUUACCUUGAGGAGCCAGGAAUACAGAAUGAACCUUGAGAAUGUCUUGUCAAUGCCUUGUCCGUUACAUUCGCAAAGUUUCUAGUAUUUGUAUUUUAGGAUCUCUAAAGACAUUGGCAGCAUUAUGCUACAAAUUAGGGAGACAAUGGUGCAAUUAAAUGACUGCUGAACACUUAGUUGUAUUUA